AAUUUACGAAGCAGGUUAAGAGAAUGAACGUAGCAGCUUAGGAUAAUUGUGUUAAGGUUAUGACAAGAGUUAUGGUUAGGGUUAGCUAAAAUGCAAAAUAAAUCAACUUUUGAUGUUAAUUUGACCAAAGCUGGAUACCUUCUAGUCUUGACCGGGUAACCACGGCAGAAAAAGAGCGGAGUGACUCGAUGUUGUUUUAGGUUUGUAUCUGGUAAAUUUGUGAAUUUAUUAGGCAUAGCUAUCGUGCUUUCUGUCUCUCUGCGGAAGUUUGUUAUUUAGAUGAUUAGAUGGUUCCUCAUCCUGAAAGUAGUCUAUGGUAGAAAACCGAAUCCAUGGUUCGUUUUUUUUUCCGCCAACAUCCGCUAACUUUACCCACAGCUAGCUAGCUAACAGUCAAUGGAAGUGAUAUCAACCGUGCAAUGUAAUUAAUUUUUCUCUCAAAAUAAUAUUUAAGUAACUUCAAACCAAAUAAUUGAGUUAUUUUGGCCCUGAUAGCGUUCAACUUUGAGAUCCCCCGAUAAUUUGCAUUCUGCUUUGUUUCUCAAUUGAAAAGUGCACAUCUUGUGUGCCUAUCAACAAUGAGAAGGGCUUCUUUAUCUAACAUCUUUACAAAGAUGUGUGUAGAUUUAGUUUUGUGUGUUUGUGUGCUUCUUUGGUGAUACGUCUCAGGAUAAGACGAUAACAUGGAGUCCAUUGAUUUGGAGAGGGGGGGCCCUUCUUGCUCUCUAUCUGGAUAUGCCAAUGGAGAGAUAAUGACCCUGGAGAUCUCAGAUGUCUCUCCAGACUUGCUUGUUCUCGAGGUAAAAGACAACAACCUACCUGAAAGUAACCAUGGCAGCCUAGACACGGAGAUGGAUGCUGACUUUUAUAAUGAUGAUGGGCAUGGUUUUGCGAAUGUGGAACUCCAGUUCUUUCCAUGUGAUGCCUGCGAAGCCUCCUUCACUAGCGAACCAGAGCUGGAGCAGCACUUCAUAAGCUCUCAUUCAAUAUGUGAUAUAGCAAGUGAGAGAGCAAGACCGAAAGCCAAGUCAAUGGAAAAAGAAGGUGUCUCACCCCUGCACACCUGCAUGACUUGUGGGAAGGUGUUCAAAUACCUAACUUCAUUUCGAAAACAUGAGGAAACUCAUAUCAAAGCCCUGUACACCUGCAAGACUUGUGGGAAGGAGUUUAAAUACCUAACUUCAUUCACAAAGCACCAGGCCACUCACAUUGUACCAAGACUGAGAGGAAAUCGAAAGUCAAUCAUAACAGUAGGCUUAAAUGUCAAUCAGAAAGUGAAAGGCCUUCACACCUGCAGGCACUGUGGUAAGGGGUUCAAAUACCUAACUUCUUUCAUAAAGCAUGAGAAGACUCACAGGAUAACCAAAAAAAGCAGAAAAAAACAGAGGAACCCUUCAAGUUCUGAGAUUAUUGUACGUCUUGAAGGCAAUAGGAAAGAUGCCACAGAAACUUGUGUAAGGGCCAUCAAGAAAAACAGGAAGAACAGCGACGAUACUGAGGAUCAGGAUGCAUGUAUUCUAAUAUCUUCUGAUGAUGAACUACCCAACACUGCAGAGCAGCAAAUGCCUGACUCUAAAUGUUCUCCUCCUUUCCCUUCUAACUCUAACCGUUCUCCUCCUUUUCCUUCUGACUCUAACCGUUCUCCUCCUUUUCCUUCUGACUCUAACCGUUCUCCUCCUUUUCCUUCUGACUCUAACCGUUCUCCUCCUUUUCCUUCUGACUCUAACCGUUCUCCUCCUUUUCUUUCUGACUCUAACCGUUCUUUUCCUUCUGACUCUAACCGUUCUCCUCCUUUUCCUUCUGACUCUAACCGUUCUCCUCCUUUUCCUUCUGACUCUAACCGUUCUCCUCCUUUUCCUUCUGACUCUAACCGUUCUCCUCCUUUUCCUUCUGACUCUAACCGUUCUCCUCCUUUUCCUUCUGACUCUAACCGUUCUCCUCCUUUUCCUUCUGACUCUAACCGUUCUCCUCCUUUUCCUUCUGACUCUAACCGUUCUCCUCCUUUUCCUUCUGACUCUAACCGUU
rnacentral:lncRNA from 1 species